rnacentral:rRNA from 1 species
UACGGGGGGAGCAAGCGUUGUUCGGAUUUACUGGGCGUAAAGGGCGCGUAGGCGGUCAGCACAAGUCAGUUGUGAAAUCUCCGAGCUUAACUCGGAACGGGCAACUGAUACUGUGCGACUAGAGUGCGGAAGGGGCAACUGGAAUUCUCGGUGUAGCGGUGAAAUGCGUAGAUAUCGAGAGGAACACCUGCGGCGAAGGCGGGUUGCUGGGCCGACACUGACGCUGAUGCGCGAAAGCCAGGGGAGCGAACGGG